UCCCGCAUGGCCGAGUGGUUAUUGCGUAUGUCUGCGAACAUUUUGGUCGUUGGUUCAAUUCCACCAACUGACA